rnacentral:rRNA from 1 species
AGCGUUUAAAAAGUUAGAGGUGAAAGGUUUGUGCUUACAUAGACAUUGCCUUUAAAACUGUUAGACUUGAGUGUAAAUGAGGCAGGCGGAAUGUGGAGUGUAGCGGUGAAAUGCUUAGAUAUUCCACAGAACACCGAUUGCGAAGGCAGCUUGCUGGGAUACGACUGACGCUGAGGCACGAAAGCGCGGGGAUCAAACAGGAUUAGAUACCCUGGUAGUCCGCGCAGUAAACGAUGAUUACUAACUGUUUGCGAUAUAGUGCAAGUGGUUAAGCGAAAGCGAUAAGUAAUCCACCUGGGGAGUACGACCGCAAGGUUGAAACUCAAAGGAAUUGACGGGGGCCCGCACAAGCGGAGGAACAUGUGGUUUAAUUCGAUGAUACGCGAGGAACCUUACCCGGGCUUGAAAUGGAGUGGAAUAAUUUGGAAACAGAUUAGUCAGUUAAUGACCACUUUGUAGGUGCUGCAUGGUUGUCGUCAGCUCGUGCCGUGAGGUGUCGGCUUAAGUGCCAUAACGAGCGCAACCCUUGUCAUUAGUUACCAUCGUGAAAGACGGGGACUCUAAUGAGACUGCCACCGUAAGGUGCGAGGAAGGUGGGGAUGACGUCAAAUCAGCACGGCCCUUACGUCCGGGGCGACACACGUGUUACAAUGGUUAGUACAGAGGGUUGCGAGACAGUGAUGUUAAGCUAAUCUCAUAAAACUAAUCUCAGUUCGGAUAGGAGUCUGCAACUCGACUCCUUGAAGCUGGAUUCGCUAGUAAUCGCGCAUCAGCCAUGGCGCGGUGAAUACGUUCCCGGGCCUUGUACACACCGCCCGUCAAGCCAUGGGAGUUGGGGGGACCUGAAGUACGUGACCGCAAGGAGCGUCCUAG